rnacentral:rRNA from 1 species
AGAGUUUCGAUCCUCGGCUCAGGACGAACGCUGGCGGCGUGCUUACACAUGCAAGUCGAACGGUGAUGCUGGAGCUUGCUCCAGCUGAUCAGUGGCGAACGGGUGAGUAACACGUGAGCAACCUGCCCUUGACUCUGGGAUAACCCCGGGAAACCGGAGCUAAUACCGGAUACGAACCGCACAGGCAUCUGCGCGGUUGGAAAGAUUUAUCGGUCAAGGAUGGGCUCGCGGCCUAUCAGCUUGUUGUGGGGGUAAUGGCCCACCAAGGCGACGACGGGUAGCCGGCCUGAGAGGGCGACCGGCCACACUGGGACUGAGACACGGCCCAGACUCCUACGGGAGGCAGCAGUGGGGAAUAUUGCACAAUGGGCGAAAGCCUGAUGCAGCGACGCCGCGUGAGGGACGAAGGCCUUCGGGUUGUAAACCUCUUUCAGCAGGGAAGAAGCGAAAGUGACGGUACCUGCAGAAGAAGCACCGGCUAACUACGUG